rnacentral:lncRNA from 1 species
AGGAAUUAUAAAUAGCUGCCCCGUGAAAUAUUCGUCUCCUGAUUCCUGAGAGGGCGCUUCUGUGAAAAGAAAGAAGGCAGAUAACUGGAUUCCUUGUAAACAUGCUGAAAACUGACCUUUUGGUAUAUAGACUAAAGGUGCUGGUUACAUAAUAGUGAGCAACACAGAGGAGAUCCUUGAAACUGGAGGGUAUACCUGAGACCACACAAGAAGAGAAGACAGGCAGAGUGGUAUCUGCGUCUCAUUCUGGUACAAAGGCCCAUUUGCAUCAAGUGAAAUGUGGACUUUGGAUGUGCGAAAUAAUCUGUGAGAACACUGCUCAGCUAAAGCCCUAGGGCAAAGACUGAAGGCUUCACUGGACAGACAAGUCCUUCCUGUCUCUGACCCUGUGCAUUCGGGGUGACCCAGCUAUAUAAUAUUCCACGAGGGGUGAGAAAUUUCCUCUACACCCACCAGUAGGACUUUUUGGGGGAUGUGGAAUUU